rnacentral:tRNA from 1 species
GCUCCCAUAGUUUAACGGAUAAAAUAUUUCGUUGCGGUCGAAAAGAUCGGGGUUCAAUUCCUCGUGGGGGCG